UGGGGAAUUUUUCCGCAAUGGGCGAAAGCCUGACGGAGCAAUGCCGCGUGGAGGUGGAAGGCCUACGGGUCGUCAACUUCUUUUCUCGGAGAAGAAACAAUGACGGUAUCUGAGGAAUAAGCAUCGGCUAACUCGGUGCCAG
rnacentral:rRNA from 1 species